CUUCUUUAUUUAGCUUGCAUUUUAUUUAAACUGUUUCAAUCUCGUGCUUUCUUCAUGCUACAAACAUGUUUUAUAAAAUUUUUGAUAUCUACCGGGUGGGGAAAAAAAAGUACGACUGUUUGAUUUACUAUGACUCAAAAACUAAAAGAGCUAUUACACUUAAAUAAAUCACCCUAUAUUCCGCGAUGUUUAACUUAGAUUUUGAUAUAUGUCUGGUGCAUUUUCAUGCGUUUAUGACUGAGAUAAUUGUGUUUAAACUUACGCAAACAUUUUUGGAACCGCCAGUAAUUAGCUGAAAAACCCCUAUUAAACUAAUUCAAUAACCGU